rnacentral:rRNA from 1 species
UACGUAGGGUGCAAGCGUUUGUCCGGAAUUAUUGGGCGUAAAGCGCGCGUAGGCGGUGAUCUUUGUCAGAGGUGAAAGCCCGGGGCUCAACUCCGGAAUUGCCUUUGAAACGGGAUCGCUAGAGUCCGAGAGAGGAUGGCGGAAUUCCUAGUGUAGAGGUGAAAUUCGUAGAUAUUAGGAAGAACACCGUGGCGAAGGCGGCCCAUCUGGCUCGGUACUGACGCUC